rnacentral:rRNA from 1 species
UACGGGGGAGCAAGCGUUGUUCGGAUUUACUGGGCGUAAAGGGCGCGUAGGCGGCCACCGCAAGUCGACUGUGAAAUCUCCGGGCUUAACCCGGAAAGGUCAGCCGAUACUGCGGGCUAGAGUGCAGAAGGGGCACUGGAAUUCUACGGUGUAGCGGUGAAAUGCGUAGAGAUCCGGAGGAACACCAGUGGCGAAGGCGAUCUGCUAGGCCUGACCUGACACUCAGACGCGACAGCAUGGGGAGCGAACGGG